rnacentral:rRNA from 1 species
CCCAGACUCCUACGGGAGGCAGCAGUGAGGAAUAUUGGUCAAUGGGCGCGAGCCUGAACCAGCCAAGUCGCGUGAGGGAUGAAGGAUCUAUGGUUCGUAAACCUCUUUUAUAAGGGAAUAAAGUGCGGGACGCGUCCCGCUUCGCAUGUACCUUAUGAAUAAGGAUCGGCUAACUCCGUGCCAGCAGCCGCGGUAAUACGGGGGAUGCAAGCGUUGUCCGGAAUCAUUGGGCGUAAAGAGUUCGUAGGUGGCACGUUAAGUCUGGUGUUAAAUGCAGAGGCUCAACCUCUGUUCGGCUCUGGAUACUGGCGAGCUUGAAUGCGGUAGAGGUAAAGGGAAUUCCUGGUGUAGCGGUGAAAUGCGUAGAUAUCAGGAGGAACAUCGGUGGCGUAAGCGCUGUACUGGGCCGUAAUUGACACUGAGGAACGAAAGCCAGGGUAGCAAAUGGGAUUAGAUACCCGCGUAACC